rnacentral:rRNA from 1 species
CGCGUAGGCGGCGAUGGAAGUUAGGCGUGAAAGCCCCGGGCUCAACCUGGGAAUAGCGCUUGAUACUCCAUUGCUUGAGUUCGGGAGAGGAGAGUGGAAUUCCCAGUGUAGAGGUGAAAUUCGUAGAUAUUGGGAAGAACACCGGUGGCGAAGGCGGCUCUCUGGACCGAUACUGACGCUGAGGCGCGAAAGCGUGGGGAGCAAACAGGAUUAGAUACCCUGGUAGUCCACGCCGUAAACGAUGUGUGCUAGACGCUGGGAAGCCUAGCUUUUCGGUGUCGCCGCUAACGCAUUAAGCACACCGCCUGGGGAGUACGGCCGCAAGGUUAAA